GGCUCUGCGCUCUCUGACAGCCAGCCAGUGCUGUUUUGUUGGAGUAAACACAAACUCCUCCUUCCCGGUGACAGGCGGCAACACUGAAGCGUCGCCUCGCCUUUUCCGACAAUCUGCGCUCAGGACUUACCGCUGAAGCCGUAGAGACCAAAGAACUACAGACUCUUCACAACCUGCUCAAACUCUUGGUACAGGACCUCACCACACGGGUCAAGAAGGUUUCCAUCUCAUUUCUACUCUGAAGCUCACCUUCUCCUGCUCAAACUGCUGACAAAUUUUUCUGCUGCUCUAAAGUCUGCUCUCCAGAACUUCCUAAAAACUCUCAAAGUCUCUUCUGCUGCAGGUUGCUUUGUAGAACUGUUCCAGAAAACCUCACUAAACCACAUGGAGGGGCCUCAAGAUAGUCGUCCAAAUGAAACCUUACAAAAACCAAACUAGCACAACCCAAACGCUAAAGUCUCCUGCAGCCUACCAGAGAACCUCUGAGAACAGAUAAUCAGGACAGGAACUCUUACCUUCUGGACAACCAACGUUGGUUCUCAAACAAGAAUACAGAAUGUGUCUGACCAAAAACCUCUGAAGACUCACUACAGCCAAGAUAAAGACACAACUCAGCUGCACCAAAUCCACUAAUCACUGCACACAUUAGCACCAUGUGCUAACUGUGCCUAAAGAACCACAUUUACCAAGACAACUAUCCAGUACAAAGCCCUAAAACACACCAAGAAACACAUUAAAGACGAUUUUACUGCUGGAAGCUGCAAGCCAACGCCUAAAGAACAAACUAAUGCAACGGAACCAAACCCGGUUCACUGGUGAAGAGAAACAGAGGAAAUGUUUGUCUGCAGCUAAACAAAGCAGGAAGACACUGAGCUGCUCAGGUGUUCCUGAUAACACCAAGCAGCCACCUGGACAGCCAAUAGGAACACAGCUUCCUGGAAGUCCAGAGGGCGGGGUUAGUCAAGGAAAUUUAAAGUUGAAUCAGAAAGUUAAUAAAGAAAGUUGAAAACCACCUUCUGAUACCUGAAAUCUCUGAGUUUUCACACAAAGAACACCUGAACAUGUCAAACUGGUUCCAUAGUAGAACCAUCAUUGUAAAAACGUCAUAGUAUGGUGUGUUGCUCAAAAAACAUUAGGACCCGGCUGUCAGGGGACAAACAUGUAAGAAACAUGAGAACAGAGAGAAUCCAACCAGUAGGUCACAGUUUAUCAUCCCCCAGUCAUCUCCUGAAGUCCAUAUGGUGAGAGACAUCAGUAUCUGGUUGUUCAUUUACCAGAGGAUGCUUAUAAUCAUGCUGAUGUGGUCUGUACUCUACAGUAUUUUAGUGACUCAAUAAAUGCCUAAGUUGUUUUUUUUAAAUGCUUUUUAGUUUUUAAU
ensembl:lncRNA